rnacentral:rRNA from 1 species
CUUAACUGUGAGCGUGCGGGCGAUACGGGCAGACUUGAGUACUGCAGGGGAGACUGGAAUUCCUGGUGUAGCGGUGGAAUGCGCAGAUAUCAGGAGGAACACCGGUGGCGAAGGCGGGUCUCUGGGCAGUAACUGACGCUGAGGAGCGAAAGCGUGGGGAGCGAACAGGAUUAGAUACCCUGGUAGUCCACGCCGUAAACGGUGGGUACUAGGUGUGGGUUUCCUUCCUUGGGAUCCGUGCCGUAGCUAACGCAUUAAGUACCCCGCCUGGGGAGUACGGCCGCAAGGCUAAAACUCAAAGAAAUUGACGGGGGCCCGCACAAGCGGCGGAGCAUGUGGAGUAAUUCGAUGCAACGCGAAGAACCUUACCUGGGUUUGACAUGCACAGGACGCCGGCAGAGAUGUCGGUUCCCUUGUGGCCUGUGUGCAGGUGGUGCAUGGCUGUCGUCAGCUCGUGUCGUGAGAUGUUGGGUUAAGUCCCGCAACGAGCGCAACCCUUGUCUCAUGUUGCCAGCGGGUAAUGCCGGGGACUCGUGAGAGACUGCCGGGGUCAACUCGGAGGAAGGUGGGGAUGACGUCAAGUCAUCAUGCCCCUUAUGUCCAGGGCUUCACACA